GAUGAAGAACGUAGCGAAAUGCGAUAAGUAAUGUGAAUUGCAGAAUUCAGUGAAUCAUCGAAUCUUUGAACGCACAUUGCGCCCCCUGGUAUUCCGGGGGGCAUGCCUGUUCGAGCGUCAUUUCACCACUCAAGCCUCGCUUGGUAUUGGGCAACGCGGUCCGCCGCGUGCCUCAAAUCGACCGGCUGGGUCUUCUGUCCCCUAAGCGUUGUGGAAACUAUUCGCUAAAGGGUGUUCGGGAGGCUACGCCGUAAAACAACCCCAUUUCUAAGGUUGACCUCGGAUCAGGUAGGGAUACCCGCUGAACUUAAGCAUAUCAUAAGCGGAGA
rnacentral:misc_RNA from 1 species